rnacentral:rRNA from 1 species
AACGAACGCUGGCGGCAGGCUUAACACAUGCAAGUCGAACGCCCCGCAAGGGGAGUGGCAGACGGGUGAGUAACGCGUGGGAACAUACCCUUUCCUGCGGAAUAGCUCUGGGAAACUGGAAUUAAUACCGCAUACGCCCUACGGGGGAAAGAUUUAUCGGGGAAGGAUUGGCCCGCGUUGGAUUAGCUAGUUGGUGGGGUAAAGGCCUACCAAGGCGACGAUCCAUAGCUGGUCUGAGAGGAUGAUCAGCCACAUUGGGACUGAGACACUGCCCAAACUCCUACGGGAGGCAGCAGUGGGGAAUAUUGGACAAUGGGCGCAAGCCUGAUCCAGCCAUGCCGCGUGAGUGAUGAAGGUCUUAGGAUUGUAAAAUUCUUUCACCGGGGACGAUAAUGACGGUACCCGGAGAAGAAGCCCCGGCUAACUUCGUGCCAGCAGCCGCCGCCGUAA